rnacentral:rRNA from 1 species
UACGGAGGGUGCAAGCGUUAUCCGGAUUCACUGGGUUUAAAGGGUGCGUAGGUGGGUAAGUAAGUCAGUGGUGAAAUCUCCGGGCUUAACCCGGAAACUGCCAUUGAUACUAUUUGUCUUGAAUACUGUGGAGGUCAGCGGAAUAUGGUCAUGUAGCGGUGAAAUGCGUAGAUAUGACAUAGAACACCAAUUGCGAAGGCAGCUGGCUACACAAAUAUUGACACUGAGGCACGAAAGCGUGGGGAUCAAACAGG